GAGGGAAAAUGGGAAGGCCGCUGGAAUGUGCUUGCUCCAUUGCUCCAUAGUCUAUUGUUAUAACACGGUACUGUUGAAAUGGUUGGUGUUCCUGCAACUUCCGAUGGUGACUUUGAAUCUGUAAUGAGAGGAAAUUCAGCGAAUUGACGCGAAGACCUUUGGCCUUAUGCAACCGGUAGCCAGGAAGUUCAUUCUUUAUCAUAACACCUGAACGCAACUAUUCUUGCUUAGUAGAUGUAUACCGAGGGACACGCCCCUUGGCCGAUACGCGGCCCAAUUCAUAUAAGAGGCGCUUCGUGCCCUGCCCUAACAGCCCGCGAAGCGAGUCCCUGUGAGUUAAGAAGUCAAAAAAUGGCACACGUUGUGCAUAUGCAACCUUCAUUCGUCCUCCCACAUGUUUCCGAAUUCCGCUCGUAUCUUCGUUAGAAUCGGAUGCAAGAGAUGAUCGAUCAAAUCACCCAUUUUAAGGGAGGGACGGGGAAUAAGCAACUAAAUUAAUAACUGAUAAACAAAAGGUGUGGACCAUUUCACCACUUUGUUACUUGUAAGGAGGGCUAGCUCCAUGGUACCCUGCUUCGCAUCUUUUAACGUGCCAAACUUGCUUCCUUUAUCACAUCUCACUUGUAAGCCCUCUUUCCAUUUUGCGUGUUGAUAGUUCAAGAUGUAACAGUUUUUCGUCCUUACCUUCUCGUUUACUCUUCGGUGUGACAACCCGGAAGGCACUGCUGGAAUCACUGGUCGUGGCAGAAUUUUGGAGCAUUUUCAGUAGACCCUGUUGAGGUUUCACGCCCAGACUGAAGUCCAAAGGUGCCGGAAUCG